rnacentral:siRNA from 1 species
AACACCAGGGAAUCUCAGCGGAUU